CCCUCCACUGCGGCAGCACGCAGGCUGCUUGGAGAGGUGACAAAAAAUUAAAAUUAAAGCUAAAUUAAAAGGAAGAUUCCCAUUUCCUCUCCCCAUCACACUUUCCACCUUAAUUUUAUCGCAUCUUCCCUCUCGUUUUAUUGACUUUUAGAAGCAUUGCCACAAGAUUUAGUGUGGAGCGGGAGGGGAGGUAAUAAAUGCGGUGCUGCUCUUGCCUCCAAUUAAUGCCGCCAGGGGGUGCGGGGAGGAGGGAGGGGAGGGGGAGGGCCGCCCCUGGGCGUGAAGCCCCCAGGAAGCUCCAGGAGCGCCCAGGUCCGGGAGACAACUGAAGCGACGCUGCGUGUUUGUAAUUUUCUUCUGACCCUAAUGGCUCCAGUUUCCCCUCAGUAUUUAAGCAGAACAAGACAGAGGCCGCUCCCCUUCUGGGCUUUGUAGGCCAGUGGUCCUCCCGCUGGGGUCCCCGGGCCAGCAGCAUCAGCGUCUCCAGGGAACUUGGUAUAGAUUCGCACUCUCCAGCUACCCCAGACCUACUGAAUCAGAAACUGGGGGUUGGCUCCAGCAAUCCGUGUUUUUUAAAAACAACUUUUAUUGAGGUAUAAUUCACAUACCAUAAAAUUCACCCUUUUAAAGCAUGCUAUUCAACGAUUUUUUAGUAAAUUUAUCGAGUUGUGCAACCAUCACCACAACCAAGUUAUGGAACAUUUCUAUCACCCCAAUAAGAUUCCUGAUGUCUGUUUACAGUGAAUCUUCUCCCCACCCCCACCCCCCAGCCCUAGGCAAUCACUAAUCUACUUUCUGUCUGUAUAGAUUUGCUUGUUCUGGAUGAUUUUUUGAGUCUAGCUUCUUUUACUUACCAUAAUGUUUUGUUUUGUUAACGGCUUUAUUGAGAUAUAAUUCACAUAUCAUACAGUCUACCCAUUUAAAGUGUACUCUUCGGUGGCUUUUAAUAUAUUCACUGAGUUGUGCAACCAUCACCACAAUGGCUUUUAGAACAUUUUCAUUACCCCCCAAAGAAACCCUGUACCCCUUAGCUGUCAUUUCCAAAUUCCCUUAUCCCCCCAACCCUAGACAACUACUGAUCUACUUUCUGUGUCUAAUAGAUUUGCCUCUUCUGGACAUUUCAUAUAAUGGACUCAUAUAAAUCUGGUCCUUUGUGAUUAGCUUUCCUUCCUUUCUUCUUUCUUUUUUGGCUGCAUCCCUGGUAUGCAGAAGUUGCCAGGUGAGAGAUUGAACCCAAGCCACAGCAGUGACAACACCGGAUCCUUAACCCCCAGUGCCACCAGGGAACUCCAGUGAUUGGCUUCUUUCACUUAGCAUAAUGUUUUCGAGGUUCGUCCAUGUCGUAGCAAUGUCAAAGAAGUUCAGUCCUUUUUCAUUGCUGAAUAGUAUUCCAUGGUGUGGCUAUGCCACAUUUUGUUUAUCCAUUUACCACUUGAUGGACAUUUGUGUUGUUUCCACUCUUUGGCUCUCAUAAUAGUGCUAUGAAAAUUCUGUCCAUGAGAUUCUGUGUGCAUGAACAUAAGAAAUCCCUAUUUGAAUCUGAUCGUGCUAAACUUGAGGACAGCUGGGCUAGGCUUCAUCCCUCACUGCUCUUUAGAUCUUUCCUUUGGUUUCCAUCUUCCCACAUCAAAUCCCCUGUGUCCAGUCUCUUCCUUCUUUCACCCCUUGAACAAACAUAGACACAGCAUUUACUGUGUGUGUCCCGUCCAGGUUAGGGUGGGCGCAGGGCUAACCGGAGGUCAGAGUCCUGGUGCUUCUCACCCUCCUUCCCCCCUUCCUGGAGAGCAGGCCUCAGACUCCCAUGCAAGUCACUCAGCGAAAAGCCCCUUCGGGGCCCCAGCUCAGUCCAUCCACCCAACCCAAACUACGUGGGAAUCUGCCCCUUCCCAGCUCCCCAGAUGAACAAGCAGGCUUACAAGCCCAGUAGCUUCAGAGUCUCCCACAUCUGCUUCUAAACUACUUGAGGAAGCUGAUUGUGGACAUUUCCUUUAGCUUUUGCUGCCUCCACCCUCUCAGCUCCUAAAGUGGGUGCAUUGCUGGCCCUUGGGGGUCCUCUCAGCAGCAACUGGGAGGUGCAGAUCUGCCCCAUCUCUACUGAUAAGGGCUCCCAGUAGGCCACUUGGUCACCUUUAGAUCCGUCUACAUCCCCCUUGUCACUGGCUCCUCACCUGACCUGCCUUCCCUCACGGAAACCCACUGCCACCUCCCUGCCUGCCUUUGUGUCCGCGGCCAGCCUCCGAUACUGUCCUGUCCCAGAACAGGACCCAGAGCGCGCUCGGCUUCCCUUCCUGCCCUUCCCAGUGUUGGCUACCCAGUUCCAGGAGGACCAGGCCUGGGGCGCCUUAGGCGGAGGGCUCUCCACAGCAAUCUGAAAAUGCAUAUCAGAAAUCUGAAAAUGUCUUUUGGAGCCUCCGGAUGUAACCGGCCUAGAGCAGGGCCUGGAUACUCCCGCUCCCAGGCGUUUCAGCAGGCCCCGCGCGAUGCCCAGACUCCCUCCCCAAAAGUAAGACUGUCCUGCGGUGUGAACCGAGUCCGUGUCCAGUACGCCUGGGACUGCGUCCCUUGGGGCGCCCGCCCCAGCCCCCUCCGCCUCCAUCGAAGCGCUCUGCUGCUGGGGAGCCUUGCCUCUCCCCUCCU